UACGGGGGGGGGCAAGCGUUGUUCGGAAUUACUGGGCGUAAAGGGCGCGUAGGCGGCCACCGCAAGUCGACUGUGAAAUCUCCGGGCUUAACCCGGAAAGGUCAGCCGAUACUGCGGGGCUAGAGUGCAGAAGGGGCAACUGGAAUUCUCGGUGUAGCGGUGAAAUGCGUAGAUAUCGAGAGGAACACCUGCGGCGAAGGCGGGUUGCUGGGCUGACACUGACGCUGAUGCGCGAAAGCUAGGGGAGCGAACGGG
rnacentral:rRNA from 1 species